rnacentral:rRNA from 1 species
UACGGGGGGGGCAAGCGUUGUUCGGAAUUACUGGGCGUAAAGGGUUUGUAGGUGGCUUGUUAAGUCAGACGUGAAAUCCCUCGGCUUAACCGAGGAACUGCGUCUGAUACUGGAUGGCUUGAAUCCGGGAGAGGGAUGUGGAAUUCCAGGUGUAGCGGUGAAAUGCGUAGAUAUCUGGAGGAACACCGGUGGCGAAGGCGGCAUCCUGGACCGGUAUUGACGCUGAGGAGCGAAAGCCAGGGGAGCAAACGGG